rnacentral:rRNA from 1 species
GACGAACGCUGGCGGCGUGCCUAAUACAUGCAAGUUGAGCGCUGAAGUUUGGUACUUGUACCAACUGGUUGAUCAGCGAACGGGUGAGUAACGCGUGGUGAAUCUGCCUUUUAGCGGGGUACACCAUUUUGAAACGAAUUCUAAUCCCGCAUAAAAUCUUUAAACACAAUUUUUAAGUUUUUAAUUUGCUAUUUCAUCACUCAAACAUGUUCCCGCGUUGUAUUAGCUAGUUGGUGAGUUAAAGGCUCACCAAGGCGAUGAUAUAUAGCCGACCUGAGAGGGUGAACGGCAAAAAUGGGAAUGAGACAAGGCACAAACGCCUAAGGGAGGCAGCAGUAGGGAAUCAUCGGAAAAGGACGAAAGACAGAAAGAGCAACGCGGCGGGAGGGAAGAAGGUGUUCGGAUCGUAAAACAAUGUAGGUAGAGAAGAAAGUUGGUGAGAGUGGAAAGCACAUAAAGUGACGGUAACGACACAGAAAGGGACGGCUAACUACGUG